rnacentral:rRNA from 1 species
GAGUUUGAUUCUGGCUCAGGAUGAACGCUGGCGGCGUGCCUAACACAUGCAAGUCGAACGAAGCAUAUAGAAGGAAGUUUUCGGAUGGAAUUUUAUAUGACUUAGUGGCGGACGGGUGAGUAACGCGUGGAUAAUCUGCCUUACACAGCGGGAUAACAAGUGGAAACAGUUGCUAAUACCGCAUAAGCACACAGUAUCGCAUGAUACAGGGUGAAAAGAUUUAUCGGUGUAAGAUGAGUCCGCGUCCCAUUAGCUAGUUGGUGAGGUAAAAGCUUACCAAGGCGACGAUGGGUAGCCGGCCUGAGAGGGUGAACGGCCACAUUGGGACUGAGACACGGCCCAGACUCCUACGGGAGGCAGCAGUGGGGGAUAUUGCACAAUGGGCGAAAGCCUGAUGCAGCGACGCCGCGUGAAGGAUGAAGUAUUUCGGUAUGUAAACUUCUAUCAGCAGGGAAGAAAAUGACCGUACCUAUNGAGC